AGAGGGCAGAUGAGAGGGAGGAGUAACAAAAGUGAAAACAAAAACUAAAAACUGAAAUAUAUUUGAAAUUGUUUUCAUUUUCAAGUUUUUGUUUUCACUUUUUUGUUACUUCUCCCUCCCAUCCUCCAGUCU
rnacentral:miRNA from 1 species